rnacentral:rRNA from 1 species
UACGUAGGGGGCGAGCGUUGUCCGGAUUUAUUGGGCGUAAAGAGCUCGUAGGCGGCUUGGCAAGUCGGGUGUGAAACCUCCAGGCUCAACCUGGAGACGCCACUCGAUACUGCUAUGGCUAGAGUCCGGUAGGGGACCACGGAAUUCCUGGUGUAGCGGUGAAAUGCGUAGAUAUCGGGAGGAACACCUGCGGUGUAGACGGCUUACUGGACCAUAACUGACGCUGAGGCACGAAAGCGUGGGUAGCAAACAGG